UACGGAGGGUGCAAGCGUUAUCCGGAUUUACUGGGUUUAAAGGGUGUGUAGGCGGAUUAUUAAGUCAGCGGUGAAAUCUCCGGGCUCAACCCGGAAACUGCCAUUGAUACUAUUAGUCUUGAAUAUUGUUGAGGUGGGCGGAACGGGUCAUGUAGCGGUGAAAUGCAUAGAUAUGACCCGGAACACCGAUUGCGAAGGCAGCCCACUAAGCAAUGAUUGACGCUGAGGCACGAAAGCGUGGGGAAUCAAACAGGGAGUUAGAAA
rnacentral:rRNA from 1 species